GGAUUUUAUUGUUCCACACCACAGGAACCAGCUCUUCUCUUCAGGACCCAGUCGAUCCGGUCCUGGAAUCAUAACGACCCUCGUCAGUAGGAAAACAACGUUAGUCCAGGUUUUACGUUUAAACUGGUGCGGUCCAAAUCUUUGAAGGCCACUCCAGAUGGGCUGGGGGGUUCCGUGUGGGUCCAGAGUCCCAGGUUGCAGAAACGGGCACUAAAGGGAUAUUUAAGCAAAACCUCUGAAUCGGCAGCAUCACACGUUUCCACGGUGAUUUCUGGCUCCGCCACCACACCGCUGGAGGCUUAGUAGGAAGUUGCUUCUGUGCGCUGCUCAGCAGCUCAACUUCCUCCAUCUUUUCUCAAAUCCAAACAGCUGCAUCGAUUGUGGAUUUCAGGGCCAAUGCUUCUGACCCAGGUACGGCGCUGACCCGGUCCAUCCUCCAGAACCAGAACAAAUGGGUUUAAGCCCCUGGUUAACUCUGAGAGCUGUAGAAAGAGAGAGUUGCGACACUCUAGUAGACUUCUAUGGAAAGAACGGAACGCGGGAGUCACGUGGUUCACGUAGCUUCGACUAGUUCCAAACAGCCCCGCUGCUGCAUCGACCGCCGUUCAUUUUCGGUGUUUCGGAAGGAUUUUCUCCGGUAAGUUGAUGACGUGUCAUCAUUUUGUUGCAUUGUGAAGCGUUAGCUAACCGCUUCGUACCAAAAUAAGCCAACGAUGAUAUUUUAUGUUGCCAGUUUUAGCUAGAGAACCUUUAAUGAGCUAACUGUGUGCAGCUUGUUGGUUGUGAGCAGGAGGACGAGCUGCAGACGGGUUUAUUUCAGUUUGUUUGAUUCUACGUUUUACAAAUAUUCCCCACAGUUUGAAAUAGGUUAUAAACUUUUGACAUUAUUAGUUUAAUUUGGGAUUUUUUGUACAAUACGUUGCUGGUUGCUGUAUCAACACCAACAUGCAUCAGAAAUGGAAGCACAGAUGGAGAGACCAGUAUUAAAGAAAAUGGGAUCGUGAAGACACGUAAUUAUUUAAUAUUUUUCAGUUAAUAACGCUGACUGCAACAAACUGCUGAAGCAAACAGGAUUACGAACGUAAGAAGAUAUGUUGUUCUGUUUUGUGGACUCAAGUAAUAAGAAUAAAAUUAAGAUAAUUCAAGAACAGUAGUCGAACAAUAACUUAAAAAUUAGACAUUUUCCAUAAAACUGCUCAUUUCCUCUUGCUUUAUAAUAUUAGCAUUUGCAAUUUUGUUAUUAAGGAAUGACAAGAAAUAAGAAUUAACAAUAACACAAUUAUCAAUAAAUAAACGUCAAAGAGAAACUAUAACAAAAAUCUCAUGUAACCAUUAAAGGUUAAACUGUGUCGUGUGUCCAUCUUCAUGUUUUCAUCGUGGCUGAGCGGAGAGCUGGCCAGGAACAACGGUGGUGGUAAAACCCAGUUGGGUCUGUGAUGGAGUGAUGCACGCCUGGAGUGAUUGCCAUCUCAUCCACAGUUCUAACAUCAGGCAGAGGGAUACUCGUGUCCUGGAGAAACCUGAAGCCUGUUGAACCUGCUGAAAAACCCAGCUGUUUUCCAGCUGGGUUCCCUGGUUGCAUCGCCUGUUCCUUUCUCCUCCUGGCCCUGACGCCGGCUCCUCGUGGCUUCCUGGGAUGUCCCUCUCUCCUGAUACCAUCUCAUGUCCCCCCUCACUUUCCCUCAUCUCAUUUGCCUCACUGCUGCUGCUGCUUUCCUCGUUCUCUGAAAUUAUAAUGGCACUGUUAGAAUAAAGAAUCAUUUUUAAAUAAAAUAAAUACAAAUGUCUAAUAUUUCAAAAGAUUUGUACCACAGUUUACUUGAGUACAACAUGUGUGGUCACUGGUCAGUGGAUCAACAUGCAGAGGUUCUGCUGUACUUCUCACUGCGGGGUCCUUCCUCCUCCUUGGUUCAGGGCGAUGAACAAACACAGCAUCAGCCCUGAGUCUCACCUUGCCUUGCCUAAGCUCAGUAAACUCUCCCUCCUCUAAAUGUGCCUGUAGAGUGGUGUAUUAGUUUAUUUCCUGCCACAUUUAACAGUUUAAUUGCAGCCUUGUGCAGUUGAGAGCAGAACAUGUAGAUCCUUGAUAGAAAACAUUAUAGAGUGCACGUUAAACUCACUGCACACAGCUUUUUGUUAUUGUGAUCUCUGGUCAUGGUGAGGUUGCUCCUGCUGACUUGAGCCAACCAUUUUCUUCUUCUCUCUGCGUCUUUGGGGAAGCCAUAAUUCUGAUUCCUCCCUCAGACCGUUUGCUAUAUGCAGGGCAGCCAACCAUGUAAGAUAUUCAACCUAUAAAGGGAUUAUUAAAAUACAGUUUUUGUACAUAUAGAAACCAAAAAUAUAGAGAUGUAAAAUUACAUUUCAAAAUUUUAUCCAACCCUAAAAUAUUUCAAAUUUUAACCCACGGACACAUUUUAUUUUAAUAAUAAUCAAAAUAAAGUUAUUCAAAAGAGUUUCAUUAGGUCUUGAGUACAUUGCUCAUAAUUAAUGAUUCAACUUAUUUGUGCAUAUGUAAUGACUAAACAUAAUGUUGGUAAAAUGCUUUAUAAAAAUGCUAUUAUACAUGUUGUACAAGUUUGGUGUUCAUUUUUUCACAAUUAACACUUAUUUUUAUCUACUUUGAUGAACCAUACAGUUUUAUUGAAAUUUUGUUUUUAAUUGCUAUUACUCAGGCUAUAGAAGCCAGAUUCAAUUCAAAUUCAAAAAUACUUUAUUAAUCCCAGAGGGAAAUUAGAGUUUCAGUACACACAAUUCUGAGAUCAGACCGACAUGGGCAAAGACACAUGUCAAGAAUUGGUGACUGUGGUCAUUUGCAACCCGAGUCGCGCUACCUUAAUAGAGAUCAGAGAGGUUUACAUGAGGAUUGGUUCAGGUGGAGGGAAAAAAAGGCACUUCAGAGUUAGCCUCCACAGGGAGGGCAGCUUUGCUCUGCAAAAAACACCUCAGGCAACAGACUUCAGACAUUACAUAACAUUAGUGUCCACUAGGUGGGGUGGUAGGGUUUUGGGGCUCUCCACACGUCAGCAGCAGCACAGCUCGCAGUCCCGCCCAGGCCGGGAUAGGGAGACAGAGUUGCCAUGGCGAUGGCAGUAUUCCACAUUUCUUCUGAGGGGGGUAUUCGUUUCAGCCUCACAGGCUCAACGGCACCAGAUUCAGAUAAGAAAUUGUUUUGGGGCCAGACAGAGAUAAUUUCUUCUCUGUCUUUGAGUUCCGCAGGUCCUCAACCUCUCAAAAUCCAAUAAUGGCGUAGAUUAAUCUAUCCCAAUCCGUGCUGAUUCGUCCACUCGUUCCUUGAUCCCAUCCAUCUUUUGUGCCAACGCAUGAAUCUCAGCCAAAGCUCCAAGCUUACGACUCAUCUCGACAAUUAUGAGUCUGUGAAUUCACAGUGUGGUGCAAUCCAUCUCUGAGCUCUGGGAGUGAGCCAAUAUUCCUCGACAGCUCGUUAAUUUUCCGGUAAGUCGGGUAACCUCCAAGGCCAAAGAGCAGGAAACCUGACACCAACACCAUGAAUAUCCAGACGUCUUCAGAAUCUUCUACAGACAGCUGAGAUAAGCAAAUCAGGUUCCACUGUUUCCAGGAGUCCAUGAUGUGCCCAGCUGGAUCUGUCCCAGAGGGGCACCCGGGAGCCCCUUCUCCCCUUCUCAUCGUUGAGAAAAUUUUGUCAAUCGCGUUGAGUGACCAGCUGACCAGGUCCAUUUUUAAUAAUUUCCAGUUUCCAGAAAAAAUGUAGAAGCUCCGUCCACCCAGAGACAGACAACGAGCCUAGGGGAUAAGAUAGGGAGGAGAGGAGGAAAAAAGCGUCUGUACUCUCCAAGAGUCGGAAGAAGAAACUAAACUGGGUUACAGAUGCAUGUACUGUCUUCACAUAAAAAUAUAAAGUAAUGACUGUAAAAUGUAUUCUACUGAACAUAAUAAAUCAUCAUUCAAAGCAUAAACAGCUACAUGUUUUCUUCAGGGUAAGCUGGAGCAGAAUUCUAGCUUUCAGUAAACCACUUUAAAAUGGAUAUUACAACUCGAGUUUAGGGCUUCUUGUAGGACUUAAAGUUAUUAAAUAUGCUUAUAUUAGAGCAGUGUGUUGCAUUACUACAUCUAAUUUAUUGCUAUAGUAUAUUAUAGUAAUAUACGUGGUCUAAAUGUGUUCUACAGUGUGUUAGGACUGUCGUGUUCCUGUAAUGUAGAACAGUCACGGGUGUCUGUCUUCCUACAAAUGCUCGGAAAAAAUAAAUAGGCUACUUUGAAGGAAUUAGGAUAUAAUAUAUAAUAUUAUUCUAAAAUUACCACAAAUUGCCAGGGAAAUGUGACAAUAUUCCAUUUUUGUGAUUUGUCCCACCAUGCGCCGUUCAAACUGACUUACGGCGCUGGGAUGUUUGGAACUAUUGAGAGCUCCAUGAUCCACGUGACCACAAGUCGGCGAGUUCAAAGCGUGUCGCAACUCUCCUUCUACCGCUCUGGGUUAACUAAAACAUUCAGAUUCUGGAGGGGAAAUCUCUGGUCUAGCAUCAAGUAACAGUUAGUGAUGGUGAGUUCACUGUUGACUGUGGGAAAAGUCAGCAUUUGGGUUUCAGAUGUUCUGAUUCCAGUUUUCUGGUCCUCACUAGAGAUGCAGCUGGUCUCCUCCAGCCUCCGCUACCAAGGCCCAUUUCCAACAGAACCGGUCUGAGUCUUCCUCUGGCUGCUUUUGUCU